rnacentral:rRNA from 1 species
GGCAAUAAGGUACGCCGGGGAUAACAGGUUAAAAAUUAAUUAAAGCUCUAAUUUAAUUAAUUCAUUGACACCUCCAUGUCGUCUCA